rnacentral:snoRNA from 2 species
GAUCAAAUGAUGAGGAAAAAACUGCAACAUAAGGAAUCGAUUUGUUUCGUGAUUACUUGUAUUUAAGUCUCUGAUGAAC